AGUCAUUCUUUGAUUUGAAGAACACAAACAAUGAACUCAAAAGUGAAUUUAAAGGACCUUUACGUUAACCCAACAGUCAAAGAAGAGAAGCUUGCUUCCGGUCAAAAGUGUGGGUUGGAUGGAUGGAUGUAAUGAUGAAGACUUAAGAAUUUAGGAAUGAGUAGGAGCCUUGGUUUGUCUCAAACAGAAACUCUUAACAAGAAAUCAGUGAAGAUUCGAAACAAGAAAACAACGAGAAAUGGUACGAUCGGCUAUAAAAGGGGUUGUAAACAAUCUUAAGAAUCAUAUAAAAAUGAUUGGCUUUUCAUGUUUGCUAUUCAUGGAUGCAAUACAAUAGAUGUUUCGUUACUGCUGGAAAGCAUUUCUAAAUUGGCAUGGUUCACCAAGACUUUGAACAAAGAACACAGGAAGAAAGGUGAACCAAGUGUUAAAAUUUGAGAAUUCAUACGGCAAUUAGCUGUGGAUAACCCAACCCCACAGAUGGAGGCGGCUAUGUUGCAGUAGGUUGUUCCGAGGAAGGACAACUACUCUCAAAGCCGGAAAGUUGCUCUUCAGAAUGUGGAAUCCACUAUUUCCUAACUAAGUGGAAUAUUUACAAAGUUGGCAACAAUGGUUUCACAUCAAGGAGAACUGGAUAUCAGGUCUCUUCUUCCUUCUGAAAGGAGAACAAUUCAUAUCCCCCUUGUAAUGUAAAUCCGUUUUACCAAUUUAUUGUAUUUGUUUUGAGGUUAUCAAAUACUUAGGGUGAGGGUUACCCUCUUAGUAGAUUAUACAUGAGAUUAUCUAAUAUUGUCCCCCUUCCUCAUGUAUUCAUUUUUGAUGUUUACUUGGAUUUUGGUUUUAAUGGAAGAUUUUUAUCUUCGUAGGCUCCAUUCAGUGUGUCAAGAUACGAGUUAUACCAACACUACUAUUUGUAUCUGGCAUAAACACAUUUCUUCAAGUUUUGUUUGGAACCAGGUUACCGGCAGUCAUUGGUGGUUCUUAUGCCUAUAUUGUACUUAUCCUUUGCAUUAUCGGAGACUCAUCUCUACAACGAAUCACUGAACCUCAUGAAAGAUUUUUACACAGUAUGAUGGAAACUCAAGGAGUCCUGAUUGUAGCUGCAAGCUUACAGAUCAUAGUAUCAUAUUAGGAUAUAGUCAAGUAUGGUGGCUUUUUUCGCAGUUUUUUAGCCCUCUCGGUAUGGCACCUGUAGUUGGAUUGGUUGGUUUGGGGUUAUUUGAGCGUGCUAACAUGGGUUAAUAUGCCGCAUGGGGUAUGAAUUAUCUUCGUCAUUGUAACCCGCCAAUUGUUCAUUGUGAUUUGUCAUCGAAUCUGCUGGUUAACAAGAACUGGACUGUGAAGGUGAGCAACAUUUUUCUCCCUUUUUGUUACAAAGUGAAAAACACAACCGAGCUUGAGCAGUUAGAAAAGAUUCCAAAAUUCAAGGCUAGGCCACUGAAUGAAAAGGUGACGAAGCCUCAGGAGUUCCACUUUUCAAUUGAUGAAUGGAUUCCUCCUUGCAAGAAUAGUUUUUGAGUUGUUUGACAAGGUACAGACAACAUAAUCACUUUUCUCUUACAACUUUCAUUAAACUCAGAACGCCAUCACAAUGAGCAGCUAUAUUUUGGGGAUAUAUGAACUGGUCCCUCUAUUUUGUAAGGUGAAGCUAUGUAAAAGAAUUUGAUGUUCAAUAAUGAACUUAGUCCAAGUUUUCAUACUUUGAACUAAUAAUUUUAGUCCAGAUUGUAAAUUGAAUUUGAGCUCCAUUUGAGAUAAUCCUUUGUGUAAUUUGAAACCAACGAAUCAAUGAAUGUUAAAUUGAAUGAUUAUUUA